rnacentral:rRNA from 1 species
UACGAAGGGUGCGAGCGUUAAUCGGAAUUACUGGGCGUAAAGCGUGCGCAGGCGGCUUUGCAAGACAGAUGUGAAAUCCCCGGGCUCAACCUGGGAACUGCAUUUGUGACUGCAAGGCUAGAGUACGGCAGAGGGGGAUGGAAUUCCGCGUGUAGCAGUGAAAUGCGUAGAUAUGCGGAGGAACACCAAUGGCGAAGGCAAUCCCCUGGGCCUGCACUGACGCUCAUGCACGAAAGCGUGGGGAGCAAACAGG